AUUGAACGCUGGCGGCAUGCCUUACACAUGCAAGUCGAACGGCAGCACGGGAGCAAUCCUGGUGGCGAGUGGCGAACGGGUGAGUAAUAUAUCGGAACGUGCCCAGUCGUGGGGAUAACGUAGCGAAAGUUACGCUAAUACCGCAUACGAUCUAAGGAUGAAAGCGGGGGAUCGCAAGACCUCGCGCGAUUGGAGCGGCCGAUAUCAGAUUAGGUAGUUGGUGAGGUAAAGGCUCACCAAAGCCAACGAUCUGUAGCUGGUCUGAGAGGACGACCAGCCACACUGGGACUGAGACACGGCCCAGACUCCUACGGGAGGCAGCAGUGGGGAAUUUUGGACAAUGGGCGCAAAGCCUGAUCCAGCAAUGCCGCGUGCAGGAUGAAGGCCUUCGG
rnacentral:rRNA from 1 species